GGCCAGCAAGGACAGCAACAGUCGAGGAGAAAGGAGAGAAUGCCAGAGAGAUGGAGCCCAAACCUGAACCCAGGAUCAAAGGGCAACUGAGUAGCACUCGCUCUGGAGUUCUCGGUCGGCUGCGCCGCUGACUUGCCAAAUUUGCCUAAGCCCGUUUGUUGGUGUUUGCAGGUCCUAACUGAUGCGGUGCCAUUUUUCAAGUACAGAAUUGGAUAAGCGUUGGAGACAGGGAGCAGCCAGCAGGUGCAAGCACUUCUGUGGAUCCAGUCCCUUUCCUUCUGAUUCUGUCUCCGUGUACACUUCGUAUCACAAAUCAGGGUCUUGCCCUGGAAAACAUCUCCCGACCCCUCUUGCUGGCCUGGCACCUGCACAGGGCUUAGCUGUGACUCCAUACAGCAUCCCUACCUGCUGUGGACAAUUUGAG
rnacentral:lncRNA from 10 species